GGCCUCGCGGCCUAUCAGCUUGUUGGUGAGGUAACGGCUCACCAAGGCAUCGACGGGUAGCUGGUCUGAGAGGAUGAUCAGCCACACUGGGACUGAGACACGGCCCAGACUCCUACGGGAGGCAGCAGUGGGGAAUCUUGCACAAUGGGCGCAAGCCUGAUGCAGCAACGCCGCGUGCGGGAAGAAGGCCCUAGGGUUGUAAACCGCUUUUAGCAGGGAAGAAACUGACGGUACCUGCAGAAAAAGGUGCGGCCAACUACGUGCCAGCAGCCGCGGUGACACGUAGGCACCAAGCGUUGUCCGGAUUUAUUGGGCGUAAAGAGCUCGUAGGCGGUUCGGUAAGUCGGGUGUGAAAACUCUGGGCUCAACCCAGAGCCGCCACCCGAUACUGCUGUGACUUGAGUUCGGUAGGGGAGCGGGGAAUUCCUGGUGCAGCGGUGAAAUGCGCAGAUAUCAGGAGGAACACCAGUGGCGAAGGCGCCGCUCUGGGCCGAGACUGACGCUGAGGAGCGAAAGCGUGGGUAGCAAACAGGAUUAGAUACCCUGGUAGUCCACGCCGUAAACGUUGGGCACUAGGUGUGGGUCUCAACCAACGAGAUCCGCGCCGUCGCUAACGCAUUAAGUGCCCCGCCUGGGGAGUACGG
rnacentral:rRNA from 1 species